AUUCACUUGACUGCACUUAUACUAAAACUGGAAGGCUACACAGAAGGUUAGUGUGACCCCUGUACAAUGAUGACACACAAAUCCAUGAAGUAAUCCAUUUUUUC